CCUACGGGUGGCUGCAGUGAGGAAUAUUGGUCAAUGGGCGCGAGCCUGAACCAGCCAAGUAGCGUGAAGGAUGACUGCCCUACGGGUUGUAACCUUCUUUUAUAAAGGAAUAAAGUGAGGCACGUGUGCCUUUUUGUAUGUACUUUAUCAAUAAGCAUCGGCUAACUCCGUUCCAGCAGCCGCGGUAAUACGGAGGAUCCGAGCGUUAUCCGGAUUUAUUGGGUGUAAAGGGAGCGUAGAUGGGUUGUUAAGUCAGUUGUGAAAGUUUUCGGCUCAACCGUAAAAUUGCAAUUGUUACUGGCAGUCUUGAGUACAGUUGAGGUAGGCGGAAUUCGUGGUGUAGCGGUGAAAUGCUUAGAUAUCACGAAGAACUCCGAUUGCGAAGGCAGCUUACUAAACUGCCACUGACAUUGAUGCUCGAAAGUGUGGGUAUCAAACAGGAUUAGAUACCCGUGUAGUC
rnacentral:rRNA from 1 species